rnacentral:rRNA from 1 species
GGACGAACGCUGGCGGCGUGCUUAACACAUGCAAGUCGAACGGAAAGGCCCUGCUUUUGUGGGGUGCUCGAGUGGCGAACGGGUGAGUAACACGUGAGUAACCUGCCCUUGACUUUGGGAUAACUUCAGGAAACUGGGGCUAAUACCGGAUAGGAGCUCCUGCUGCAUGGUGGGGGUUGGAAAGUUUCGGCGGUUGGGGAUGGACUCGCGGCUUAUCAGCUUGUUGGUGGGGUAGUGGCUUACCAAGGCUUUGACGGGUAGCCGGCCUGAGAGGGUGACCGGCCACAUUGGGACUGAGAUACGGCCCAGACUCCUACGGGAGGCAGCAGUGGGGAAUAUUGCACAAUGGGCGGAAGCCUGAUGCAGCAACGCCGCGUGCGGGAUGACGGCCUUCGGGGUGUAAACCGCUUUCGCCUGUGACGAAGCGUGAGUGACGGUAAUGGGUAAAGAAGCACCGGCUAACUACGUG